GGAUGCAAGGUUUAAAGCCUUUGAGAUUCUAUCACAUAACAGCCCAACUCACAUCCCCAUGUUCUCUCAGGAUAGUCAGGAUCAAAGAGGUGUGUCAACUGAUGGACCAUGGUUAGAUUCCUCAAUUUCUUCCCCAAGUAAUGAUGAGUCACGAGAGCAUUCAUCAAGCCGGCUUCUUAAGGAUCUUUAUGAUGUUAAAUUGGAGUAAUCAAAGCAGGAUUGAUAAAAUAGUAACUAUAUAUAUAAAUAAGUCUUGGUUGAUCCAGGAGAAAUAGUUUUGAUUAGUGUGUAUAGCUUCUUCCUUGUCCAAGUUUAACUUUAUUAGCCCUUUAACAUGUAAAUGAAAACCACCACCUUCUUGUGGUGAAACUUUCCCUAGAGUAAUCCAAACAUCAAGAAAUUGGUAGACAAACCGACAUGGAAUCAAAA
rnacentral:misc_RNA from 1 species